AUGUAUUAACUUUACAAAUCUCUAAUUUAAUUAAUUUUAGCACAAAAUUUUUUAUAAAAAUAUAAAAUUAACUAAUACUAAUCUAAAUUAUUUAAACUAAUAAUAAAAAUCAAAAAUAAAAACUAAGUAAAACUAAGACUUGUACCUUUUGUAUCAGGGUUGAUUAAUACUACAAAAAUAUUUAACUAUCUCGAAAAUUAACCAGAUAAGGUUAUAUUUAUUGAUGUUUAAAGAUCAAAAAAAAUGUAACUUUAGAUUUUAUAUGAACUCAAGUUUUUAUAUCUAGUUGCUAACUAAAGCAAUUUAAAUGUUACUUAUUAUUUUAAUUAAAUAAAUUAUAAAUAAAUAAGUUAAAACUUCAAAAGACAAGUUUUCAAGUAAAAUAAAUGAGUACCCCAAAGCAAAAUUAAAGUAAUAUUAAAAUUUUAAAUCCCUAAAAUAUCUAAUAGUAUUAAGUAAUAAAUUAAAUUUUAAACUCCAUUAUUAAAUAAGUUAGCUUUUAGUUCAAUUAGUACACUAAAAAUCAUAUGAUUAAAUUAAUAUACUUAUAAACUUAAAUUAAAAAAAUUAGGCAAUAAAACCAGCUUUCAUAUGUUUCACAAAAACAUAGUUUAAGGUCUAAGUCUUAAAUAAACUCUGCUCAAUGAAAAUUAAAUAGCUGCAGUAAAUUAACUGUACUAAGGUAGCAUAAUAAAUUGUUUUUUAAUUAAAAACUAGAAUGAAAGAUUAAAUGAAAAGCUAACUUAUUUUAAAAAUAAAAAGUAAAACUUAAUUUCUAAGUUAAAAAUCUUAGAUUAACUCUUAAAAGACAAGAAGACCCUUUAGAAUUUUAUAUGUAAAGCCAAACCAUGGUAAUUACAUAUUAGGUUGGGGAGACUGCAAAACAAAAAUCUUUUGCUUAAGUUAAUUCACCCAAAAGUGUAAAUUUAAAUAUCCACUAAUGAAAUAGACCAAAUUACCUAAGGGAUAACAGCGUAAAAUUUUUUGAAAGACCUCAUUAAUAAAAUUUAUUACGACCUCGAUGUUGGAUUAAGGAUCUACUGAAAAGCAGAAUUUUCAGUAAAGGGUCUGUUCGACCCAUAGCUCCCUACAUGAUCUGAGUUCAGACCGGCGUAAGCCAGGUCAGCUUAUAUCUUUAAGUAAACAUUUUAUUAUAGUACGAAAGGAUUUUAUAAAAUAAAAAAUUUAUA
rnacentral:rRNA from 1 species